rnacentral:rRNA from 1 species
UACAUGGGGUGCAAACGUUUGCUCGGAAUUAUUGGGCGUAAAGCGCGCGUAGGCGGUUACUUAAGUCGGAUGUGAAAGCCCUCGGCUUAACUGAGGAAGUGCACCCGAAACUGAGUAGCUAGAGUACGAAAGAGGGUCGCGGAAUUCCCGGUGUAGAGGUGAAAUUCGUAGAUAUCGGGAGGAACACCGGUGGCGAAGGCGGCGACCUGGGUCGAGACUGACGCUGAGGCGCGAAAAGCAUGGGGGAGCGAACAGG